rnacentral:lncRNA from 1 species
UGAAUGCUGCCUCCUUACUCCUACCACACAGGCAGACUCUUCCUCUGGUGUUGCUUCACACGGCGGGCAGGUGAACUUGGAUCAUCGGAAUGAGGACUUCGUGAAGCCCAAGGGAGCUUUCAAAGCCUUCACUGGUGAGGGCCAGAAACUGGGCAGCACAGCGCCCCCAGGUAUUAAACACCAGCUCUCCAGCCCAGCCAGCAGAACAUGAAGCCAAAGCUAGCUCAUCUAUCUUAAUCGAUGAAGCAGAACCUACCACAAACAUGCAAAUCUGGCUUGCAGAUGGUAGGAGGCUGGUGUAGAAAUUCAACCACAGCCACAGGAUCAGCCACAUCUGGCUCUUCAUCAUGGAUGCCGGACCAGCUAUGGAUGCCACCAGUUUUGUCCUUAUGACUGACUACCUUCCCUAACAAAGAGCUGGCUGAUGAGAACCAAACCCUGAAGAGAGCCAACCUUCUCAACGCUGUCGUCGUGCAGCGGUUAA